UGGGUAACGGACCCAUCGUCAUGAUCAUCAUCAUCAAAGCGCGCCGACGGCACGGGGUGACGAGCGGCGGCAGGCGCACUCGGUGUCCACUACAACGGGGGAGGAAGUGGCGGCCGACACCGCCCUGCGUCCUCCGACUCAGGAAGCCGGGCAGGGUGAAGCGGUGCCGCAGUAGUUAGCGUGCUGCAAUAUGAACACGGCGACCUGAGUUCGAUUCCCACCCGUGGCAAACACGAAUGGUGAGGGAUAUCUGAACUGGCCAUGGGGCCUCCCUCCUAUCGCCAACGCACACUCACAAGCAUGGUGAAGCAUGGCCAAAAAACUCGCAUGACCAAUAUGGUAUGGGGGACGCCUUCAUCUAUGAGUGGAUCAACAAAGAUGCCCUGGCACUUCCCGAUUAACGUAACACUUUCCAUGGAAAUUUACCGACUGGAAACGCACGAGCGGAUGUCUGCUCUCCUUUCACAGACAGACUCUCCCCGCGACCCAAUUCACCUGUUCACCCUCUCGACUGAAACAAGGGUAAGAACACUCCGUGUAACAACAACCGCGUUUUUGCCAACAGCGCCUUAUUUUCCUUCCCCCCCCCCCCCGAUGAAUGCAGUAAGGCCACCCAAGGUCAAAUACAACUGUGCACUAAUUGGGGAUUUUGUGUUCCAAGUUUAAAGUUUCAGUCGCAAUGCGAAGUCACACUCUGAUCAUUUCACCUCGGGAAUCUUUUGUCCUCAAUGCAUUUCAGUCUUCACUUUAAAGACACAAUCGUGUAAAUUCCCAUUCAUGUUUUAUAGCGGGCCCCGUUAUCAAAUAUUACCUCACCGCGACAUUGUUGCAGCAUAAUGAGGAGAUUGUAAAUCAGAAGAAUAUAAA